rnacentral:rRNA from 1 species
GACGAACGCUGGCGGCGUGCUUAACACAUGCAAGUCGAACGGAAAGGCCCCCACUUUUUUGGUGGGGGUGCUCGAGUGGCGAACGGGUGAGUAACACGUGGGUGAUCUGCCCUGUACUUCGGGAUAAGCUUGGGAAACUGGGUCUAAUACCGGAUAGGACCAUGGUUUAGUGUCUCAUGGUGGAAAAAUUAUUGUUUUGGUGCAGGAUGAGCUCGCGGCCUAUCAGCUUGUUGGUGGGGUAAUGGCCUACCAAGGCGUCGACGGGUAGCCGGCCUGAGAGGGUGGACGGCCACAUUGGGACUGAGAUACGGCCCAGACUCCUACGGGAGGCAGCGGUGGGGAAUAUUGCACAAUGGGCGCAAGCCUGAUGCAGCGACGCCGCGUGGGGGAUGACGGCCUUCGGGUUGUAAACUCCUUUCGUUAGGGACGAAGCCGCACCUUUUUUGGGUGUGGUGACGGUACCUUUGUUAAGAAGCACCGGCUAACUACGUG